rnacentral:rRNA from 1 species
GAUGAACGCUGGCGGCGUGCCUAAUACAUGCAAGUCGAGCGAACAGACGAGGAGCUUGCUCCUCUGACGUUAGCGGCGGACGGGUGAGUAACACGUGGAUAACCUACCUAUAAGACUGGGAUAACUUCGGGAAACCGGAGCUAAUACCGGAUAAUAUAUUGAACCGCAUGGUUCAAUAGUGAAAGACGGUUUUGCUGUCACUUAUAGAUGGAUCCGCGCCGCAUUAGCUAGUUGGUAAGGUAACGGCCUACCAAGGCAACGAUGCGUAACCGGCCUGAGAGGAUGAUCAGCCGCACUGGAACUGAGACACGGUCCAGACUCCUACGGGAGGCAGAAGUGGGGAAUAUUGGACAAUGGGCGCAAGCCUGAUCCAGCCAUACCGCGUGGGUGAAGAAGGACUUCGGGUUGUAAAGCCCUUUUGUUGGGAAAGAAAAGCAGCAGGUUAAUACCCCGCUGUUCUGACGGUACCCAAAGAAUAAGCACCGGCUAACUUCGUG